CGAGGCUCUGAUCCUGGGAAGCUCACAGUCUCCGGGAAAACUGAUGGCAAACAGGUAAACAAGCAAGAUCAUUACAAGAGCUAUAAAAAGAAGAAACCGGGGCAUGUAACCAACCGUGACCAAAGGAUCUCGCAUGUGAGACUCAGCGCCUUCUCUAGAUUCCACGAAUCUUUAUCGGGAAAAUACUUUGAUAAACGCCCGUAGUAGGAACUAAGCCUCCGACACAUCUAAGUAAGGAAGGAAGGGAGGAAGGGAGGACGUGAUGUGCUCAUGUACUCCAUGUGCUUGAUGUGCCUGGAUUUCUUUGGAGACGGGAGAAGUAGCUGAGCUCCGCAGCAGGAAUGUGGAGGAGGGUGUUGGAGGCACGUGAAGGGGUAAACAAAGCAGAGAGAAUGUGGCAGGAGCCAGACGGUGUCCACCAACAGAGACAACAUUCCUCA